UGGGAAUAUUGCACAAUGGAGGGAACUCUGAUGCAGCGACGCCGCGUGAACGAAGAAGGCUUUCGAGUCGUAAAGUUCUUUUAUAUGGGAAGAUAAUGACGGUACCAUAAGAAAAAGCCCCGGCUAACUACGUGCCAGCAGCCGCGGUAAUACGUAGGGGGCUAGCGUUGUCCGGAAUCACUGGGCGUAAAGGGUUCGCAGGCGGAAAUGCAAGUCAGGUGUAAAAGGCAGUAGCUUAACUACUGAAAGCAUUUGAAACUGCAUAUCUUGAGAAGAGUAGAGGUAAGUGGAAUUUUUAGUGUAGCGGUGAAAUGCGUAGAUAUUAAAAAGAAUACCGGUGGCGAAGGCGACUUACUGGGCUCAUUCUGACGCUGAGGAACGAAAGCGUGGGUAGCAAACAGG
rnacentral:rRNA from 1 species